rnacentral:rRNA from 1 species
UACUAGCGGUCCAAGUCGCAGCCAUUUUUAUUGGGUCUAAAACAUCCGUAGCUUGCUUGAUAAGUCUCUUGUGAAAUCUUAUAUCUUAAAUAUAAGGCGGGCAAGAGGUACUAUCAGGCUAGAGACUGGAAGACGGAAGAAGUACGUUCGAAGUAGCGGUAAAAUGUGUUAAUCUCGAACGGACUCACAAUAGCGAAGGCAUCUUCCGAGGACAGUUCUGACAGUAAGGGAUGAAGGCUAGGGGCGCAAAACGGAUUAGAUACCCCAGUA